rnacentral:rRNA from 1 species
UACGUAGGGUGCGAGCGUUAAUCGGAAUUACUGGGCGUAAAGCGUGCGUAGGCGGUUCGUUAAGUUCGUUGUGAAAUCCCCAGGCUCAACUUGGGAACUGCAUCCGAUACUGGAUGGCUUGAAUUCGGGAGAGGGAUGCAGAAUUCCAGGUGUAGCGGUGAAAUGCGUAGAUAUCUGGAGGAAUACCGGUGGCGAAGGCGGCAUCCUGGACCGACAUUGACGCUGAGGAGCGAAAGCUAGGGGAGCAAACGGGG